rnacentral:tRNA from 1 species
UGCGGGAUGGUGUAACAGAUAACACGCCUGACUUUGAAUCAGGAGAUUGAAGGUUUGACCCCUUCUCCCGCAGCCA